rnacentral:rRNA from 1 species
CUGGUUGAUCCUGCCAGUAGUCAUAUGCUUGUCUCAAAGAUUAAGCCAUGCAUGUCUAAGUAUAAGCAAUCUAUACAGUGAAACUGCGAAUGGCUCAUUAAAUCAGUUAUCGUUUAUUUGAUAGUACCUUACUACUUGGAUAACCGUGGUAAUUCUAGAGCUAAUACAUGCUAAAAACCCCGACCUCCGGAAGGGGUGUAUUUAUUAGAUAAAAAACCAAUGCCUUCGGGCUUGUUGGUGAUUCAUGAUAACUAAACGAAUCGCAUGGCCUUGCGCCGGCGAUGGUUCAUUCAAAUUUCUGCCCUAUCAACUUUCGAUGGUAGGAUAGUGGCCUACCAUGGUUUCAACGGGUAACGGGGAAUUAGGGUUCUAUUCCGGAGAGGGAGCCUGAGAAACGGCUACCACAUCCAAGGAAGGCAGCAGGCGCGCAAAUUACCCAAUCCCGACUCGGGGAGGUAGUGACAAUAAAUACUGAUACAGGGCUCUUUUGGGUCUUGUAAUUGGAAUGAGUACAAUUUAAAUCCCUUAACGAGGAACAAUUGGAGGGCAAGUCUGGUGCCAGCAGCCGCGGUAAUUCCAGCUCCAAUAGCGUAUAUUAAAGUUGUUGCAGUUAAAAAGCUCGUAGUUGAACCUUGGCCCUGGCUGGCCGGUCCGCCUAACCGCGUGCACUGGUUCGGCCGGGGCUUUCCUUCCGGCUAGCCUCAUGCCCUUCACUGGGUGUGCUGGGGAUCCGGGACUUUUACUUUGAAAAAAUUAGAGUGUUCAAAGCAGGCCUACGCUCGAAUACAUUAGCAUGGAAUAAUAGAAUAGGACGGCGGUUCUAUUUUGUUGGUUUCUAGAGCCACCGUAAUGAUUAAUAGGGAUAGUCGGGGGCAUCAGUAUUCAAUUGUCAGAGGUGAAAUUCUUGGAUUUAUUGAAGACUAACUACUGCGAAAGCAUUUGCCAAGGAUGUUUUCAUUAAUCAGUGAACGAAAGUUAGGGGAUCGAAGACGAUCAGAUACCGUCGUAGUCUUAACCAUAAACUAUGCCGACUAGGGAUCGGACGGUGUUCAAUUUAUGACCCGUUCGGCACCUUACGAGAAAUCAAAGUCUUUGGGUUCUGGGGGAGUAUGGUCGCAAGGCUGAAACUUAAAGGAAUUGACGGAAGGGCACCACCAGGAGUAAAAAACAACAGCCGCCAGGCUCUGCUCCUAAAAGCCGCCAGCGGUGGUGCCCCUACAGUGGCUAGUCGGCUGUCCUUUUGCCGGCGACACGCUCAGAUUGCGGGGAGACCCUAAAGCCCGAGGCACCAAGCCGGCACCGAAAGGCGCCGGCCGCGGUAACAGUUCCUCCGGGAUGUAACAAUGGGAAAUCCGCAGCCAAACCCCUAAACCGCCGGUCGGGCGGCACGGGGAAGGUUCAGAGACUACAUGGGUGUGGACGGGCGACCUUGCCCGCCUAAGGUAUAGUCCGCCUGAGGCACCGAGAGGUGCCACGGACUCAAUAGCAGUCCCGAACAAACCGGGAGCCUGCGGCUUAAUUUGACUCAACACGGGGAAACUCACCAGGUCCAGACACAUUAAGGAUUGACAGAUUGAGAGCUCUUUCUUGAUUAUGUGGGUGGUGGUGCAUGGCCGUUCUUAGUUGGUGGAGUGAUUUGUCUGCUUAAUUGCGAUAACGAACGAGACCUUAACCUGCUAAAUAGCCAGGCGAGCUUUCGCUCGCGUUUGGCUUCUUAGAGGGACUAUCGGCUCAAGCCGAUGGAAGUUUGAGGCAAUAACAGGUCUGUGAUGCCCUUAGAUGUUCUGGGCCGCACGCGCGCUACACUGACGGGGCCAACGAGUAUCAUCCUUGGCCGAAAGGUCUGGGUAAUCUUGUUAAACCCCGUCGUGCUGGGGAUAGGGCAUUGCAAUUAUUGCCCUUCAACGAGGAAUUCCUAGUAAGCGCAAGUCAUCAGCUUGCGUUGAUUACGUCCCUGCCCUUUGUACACACCGCCCGUCGCUACUACCGAUUGAAUGGCUCAGUGAGGCCUUCGGAUUGGCUCAGGGAGGGGGCAACCCCCACCCAGAGCCGAGAAGUUGGUCAAACUUGGUCAUUUAGAGGAAGUAAAAGUCGUAACAAGGUUUCCGUAGAGAUCCUUCUGCAG